GUAACACGUUUCAACCUGCCCUGGAGACAUGGACAACCCCGGGNAAACUGGGAUUAAUCCGUGAUAGGUCAUCUCAUCUGGAAGGAGAGAUGGCUUAAAGGGGUACGCGGNGCUUCUUCUGCGUAUUCGCUCCAGGAUGGGACUGCGUCCGAUCAGGCUGUUGGCGGGGUAAUGGCCCACCAAACCUGUAACCGGUACGGGCCUUGAGAGAGGUGGCCCGGAGAUGGACACUGAGAGAAGGGUCCAGGUCCUACGGGGCGCAGCAGGCGCGAAACCUUCGCAAUGCGCGAAAGCGUGACGAGGUUAAUCCGAGUGGCCCCCGCUGAGGGGGUCUCUUGUCAGCUGUAAAUAGGCGGGCGAAUAAGGGGAGGGCAAGCCUGGUGUCNGCCGCCGCGGUAAUACCANCUCCUCGAGUGGUCGGGGCGAUUAUUGGGGCCUAAAGCAUCCGUUCCCGGUUCCGUUGGGCCCUCUGUUUAAAUCC
rnacentral:rRNA from 1 species